GAGGAAUAUUGGUCAAUGGACGAGAGUCUGAACCAGCCAAAUCGCGUGAAGGAAGACUGCCCUACGGGUUGUAAACUUCUUUUGUACAGGAAUAAAUGACAUUACGUGUAAUGUAUUGCAUGUACUGUACCAAUACGCAUCGGCUACCUCCGUGCCAGCAGCCGCGGUAAUACGGAGGAUGCGAGCGUUAUCCGGAUUUAUUGGGUUUAAAGGGUGGGCAGGCGGGAUUUUAAGUCAGCGGUGAAAUUUUCAGGCUCAACCUGAACACUGCCGUUGAAACUGUGAUUCUUGAGUAUGGAUGAAGUAGGCGGAAUGCGUUGUGUAGCGGUGACAUGCUUAGAUAUAAAGAGGAACUCCGAGUGCGUAGGCAGCUUACUAAGCCAUAACUGACGCUCAAGCACGAAAGCGAGGGGAUCAAACA
rnacentral:rRNA from 1 species